GUCCGGUUCGAAUAUCGGUUAGUUCAUCAGGCUUUCAACCUGAAAAGACGGGUUCGAUUCCCGUACCGGAUGCCA
rnacentral:tRNA from 1 species